rnacentral:lncRNA from 1 species
AUGAUGGCGCAUUACCAGGUGACGAUGGAACCGCCGGCGGUGGCGUGGAAGGGGAGGUUCCCGGCGGGGGAGAUACUCCUGUUGGAGCAUUAGACGCAGGUGGCUGCGAUGACGGUGACGUGGAGGGGGAAGUUCCCGGAGCCGGUGACAGCCCAGUUGGAGCAUUAGCCGCAGGUGGUUGUGAUGACGGUGACGUGGAGGGGGAAGUUCCCGGAGCCGGUGACAGCCCAGUUGGAGCAUUAGCCGCAGGUGAUUGGGAUGAUGAUGGUGACGUAGAAGGUGAAGUUGCCGGCACCGGAGAGUACCCUUUUGGAGGAUAAGGCGAAGGCGCAUGAGAUGACGGUGACGUGGAAGGUGAAGUCGCCGGCACCGGAGAGUAUCCUUUUGGAGGAUAAGGCGAAGACGUGGAAGGUGAAGUUGCCGGCGUCGGAGAGGACCCUUUAGGAGGAUUAGCCGAAGGUGCAUGAGAUGUUGGUGAG